AUUUGACAUAUCAUCAGUGGAGUUUGUUGAUGCUAAUAAUAAUGAGAUUCCUAUGGAUGUAUUUUAUGCUGAAACUACUGCAAAACAAGACUACUAUGAAGGAACCAUCAGGUGCCUUGGCAGUCUUGACAGUAACUUAAAAGGAAAAUACUUAGUAACAGUAGAAGCAAGUAACAAAGGAGAUGUAUCAGCAACAAUUCAGAUAGCGAUUUACACAAUCGACAAAUCUUAUCGCGUCGGCCUCCGUUUUGACAGUUCUGUUGCAGAGGUCAAUGCAAACUUGGACCAAAUUAAAG